rnacentral:rRNA from 1 species
CCUACGGGUGGCAGCAGUGAGGAAUAUUGGUCAAUGGGCUUACGCCUGAACCAGCCAAAUCGCGUGAGGGAAGACUGCCCUAUGGGUUGUAAACCUCUUUUGUCAGGGAGCAACGCCGGCUACGUGUAGCCGGACUGAGAGUACCGGAAGAAAAAGCAUCGGCUAACUCCGUGCCAGCAGCCGCGGUAAUACGGAGGAUGCGAGCGUUAUCCGGAUUGAUUGGGUUUAAAGGGUGCGCAGGCGGAAUGUCAAGUCAGUGGUAACAUUUCGGGGCUCAACCCCGUCGUGCCGUUGAAACUGGCGUUCUUGAGUGAGCGAGAAGUAUGCGGAAUGCGUGGUGUAGCGGUGAAAUGCAUAGAUAUCACGCAGAACUCCGAUUGCGAAGGCAGCAUACCGGCGCUCAACUGACGCUCAUGCACGAAAGCGUGGGUAUCGAACAGGAUUAGAUACCCCUGUAGUC